rnacentral:rRNA from 1 species
UACGAAGGGGGCGAGCGUUGUUCGGAAUCACUGGGCGUAAAGGGCGCGUAGGCGGCCCUCUUAGUCGCGUGUGAAAGCCCCGGGCUCAACCUGGGAACGGCGCGCGAAACGGGAGGGCUGGAGUUCGGGAGAGGAGAGUGGAAUUCCCAGUGUAGAGGUGAAAUUCGUAGAUAUUGGGAAGAACACCGGUGGCGAAGGCGGCUCUCUGGACCGAGACUGACGCUGAGGCGCGAAAAGCGUGGGGAGCAAACAGG